rnacentral:rRNA from 4 species
AUCCGGGUUGCGGACAGUGUCUGGUGGGUAGUUUGACUGGGGCGGUCUCCUCCUAAAGAGUAACGGAGGAGCACGAAGGUUGGCUAAUCCUGGUCGGACAUCAGGAGGUUAGUGCAAUGGCAUAAGCCAGCUUGACUGCGAGCGUGACGGCGCGAGCAGGUGCGAAAGCAGGUCAUAGUGAUCCGGUGGUUCUGAAUGGAAGGGCCAUCGCUCAACGGAUAAAAGGUACUCCGGGGAUAACAGGCUGAUACCGCCCAAGAGUUCAUAUCGACGGCGGUGUUUGGCACCUCGAUGUCGGCUCAUCACAUCCUGGGGCUGAAGUAGGUCCCAAGGGUAUGGCUGUUCGCCAUUUAAAGUGGUACGCGAGCUGGGUUUAGAACGUCGUGAGACAGUUCGGUCCCUAUCUGCCGUGGGCGCUGGAGAACUGAGGGGGGCUGCUCCUAGUACGAGAGGACCGGAGUGGACGCAUCACUGGUGUUCGGGUUGUCAUGCCAAUGGCACUGCCCGGUAGCUAAAUGCGGAAGAGAUAAGUGCUGAAAGCAUCUAAGCACGAAACUUGCCCCGAGAUGA